GAGCACUGGAAAAUUCCACCCAGCCUCUGGCCUGAUUUUGUUACUUCUGUGCCUCCUUCCUUCCCCAAGGCAUUGAUAAAGUCACUGCCAGUGUUUAACCCCUUCUGGAGAUGUGCCUAACUCCUGACAGAUCCCGGGCUGCGUGUGAGGCCUGCAUGCCCUGCGCUGCGCUUGGUACUGGAGGCUGGAGGGAACAGAGCCCUGGCAGGUAAAUGACAAACUCCCCAGGCUCCCAAAUCCUCAUCUGUAAAAUGAGGUGACCCAACUCGGUUUUCUGCCUCCAGCACCAAAAUUCCACGAAAAUGUUUCCAGUGCAGAGCGGACACCAAGGCUGUGUCUGAGCGGCGCCGUCUGCCUCUCGGCACCAUCCCACUCCCGGGGGCGGGCGGGAGCCGGGGGCGCGCCGGCCCGGACAGGACGGCCGCGCCAGGGCCCGCUCCGAGCCGCUGCUUCACCGGCUUGGGGAGGGGGCUCCCCGACCAGGCGCCUCGUUUGCUGGAGCCCCCCCAGGCCCGCCCCGCCCCUUCACAACCUUCGUAAUUUACUGGAGUCGAGGGGGGAUUUAAAAUACGGAGAAUACAACCCUGAUGUCAUUUGGCUGCUAUCCCGACCUUCACCGUGCCGCUGUACUCCAUCUUCCCGUCUUGGAACUUGCUGCUAAAGACAUUUGCCAUUUUGUAGAUUCUAGAAAUAAAGACUGCAGGUGAGACGGGAUGGGAAUCGCCAUCCUGUCCUGGGCUCCUAGCUUAAACCACUGUGCCCCUUGCUCUUCCACUUUAUCUCACUGCUUCUCGUUUCUUUUCAAAAAAUCAAGGCAGCUGCCAGGUCCAUCGGAGACCCCCUCCGCCUCGAGCGUUCUAGACUAGUAGGACCUGGUGAGGUGCAAGCACCCGGGGGAUGUUACACUAAACGGCGUUUGGCUACGACCAGGGGAGUGUGUGCGACUCUAAUGCAUGCACGACUUUGAGACGAUAAGGAGGAAUGACAAAGGACAGGAAAGAGGACGGAAAGGCAGCUCCGGGCUGAAGAGGGAAGGAGGGCCGCAGCUCAGGAAUAGAGACCCGAGGGCAGAAAGACGCCCAUGAUGCCCCCGGCCCAGGUCCUCCGACGCACCAACCCCGGCCAAGCCCUGGCGGCGGGGCGCGCGUGCGCAGUGGCGCGCUGCGGCAACGGCCACGGCUCGCGGAGGCGGCCCAGACCGGCUAAAGCCGGUUAGAACCGGCAGUGCCCACUCGCCCUGAGCUGGCGCUUCACAAAGGGAGGCGGCGGCUCACGACCCGCGUAUCCUUGCGCGGGGUGGGGACGGGGAAUGGGUGCCUGUGCCGCGCCCCUCCCCCCGCUGCCCUCCUCCUCGGACCGCGGGGCCUCUGGGGCCUCCGGACACCUGUUCCGGCCUCGCUUCUGGGGUCCGGGCCCCGGGAGACCGACCCUUUGGAGCCAGUGGGGCCGCGCCCACCCCUCCCCUGCUUUUCCGUGUAGACGUUAGAGCCGCGUGGAUACCCGUGUCUCGCGACCCCCGGCGCCAUCAUGCUUUCCAAAUACCCAGGCCUUGGCGGGGAGGCAGAUCCCUUUUCUCUCCCCGGGGACUCUACAGUGUCCGAGACGCUGCAGCGGGGCUCAUGUCGGUGCUUAAGUCAGCUCUUUAGGUGGGAAGCCCCGGGGGUGUUUUAAGAGUAAAAUUGCUCAAGCCGAGGUAUAAGGAAAAAGCUUUGGGUUAGAACAAAAGCCUUUAGUUUUAUUCCGUAUCCAAUUUAAAAAUUUUGAAAAUGGAGUUAGAAUUUAUAUCUCUAUCGAUAUCUGCAAAACAGACUUGGGAGAGCAAACUCGUAAAGGUUCACAAACACGGGAACACGUUAACGUUCCCAGAGUGGCUGCCCAAGGUCGCCGUGUCUUUGGAACCUAAACCUUGGCCGUUUGGGGUACUUUAAAGGGGACACUUAAGGUUUUGACAGCGGACUUGGAUUUUGUUAAGUUUAAUGAGAGAAGCCUGGAAGCUUAGCAACGAUUCGCGUUUGGACAGAUCAGAAAAUUAACCUAGGCUUCAUUUUAAACCUCUAAGUAGUUAACCAAAAGGAACCUGGUCUAGCUGACAUUUCGUAACAACAAAAACUUUAACCAUGUAAAAUAACUAAUCCAAGUCACCCCAAUGCCUCAGAUACAGAAAGACUGAGUUGGGGCUGCGCCUCUUGCGGGAGGGUCAGUGUAUCGUGGCUAUUUGAGACCAUUUUAGAAGUGAAUGUCCACACUUAGAACUUUCUGAAGCAGAUCACACAGCUGCUUGGAUUUCUUUCAUAAAAGAGCAACCUAAACGCGUGUGAUAAGCACAUAAUCAACCUGCAGGACUCGAGGCAGUUUGUGGAAAACUGACACCUCCAAAAUGGCUGCGGUCUGACGCUUUCGCAUAACGGAAGGCAAAGCCUCCGCAAACCCAUUUGAGCCUUCCUUAAAAAAGUACUAAAAUAGUGCGUACUGUAUGUACUCCAAAGGUAUGAAAAGCAUUUUAAAAGCUACUAAAAAAGUCCCAAGUAAUGUCUCUGUGAGCUGUUUGGUCUAUUUAAAUGUGACUAGAUCGUUUUUUCCUGAAUUUUCAGCUCAAAUCUACUUGCUAAUAAGUUUCAAAUAGUUCCGGGCACAUAAUAAGGUUGCAUAAAACUUACGAAAAAGUCUAGAAGGGUUUGUAAUCCAGAUUCUAUUUUUAACUCUUCCGGGGACUAUUUUUGCUUCCCUCACAAAGCGGGCGGAGGGUUAUGGGAAUCGGAGGUGUGAGCCGCCUUUUCACUAUAAAUAUGCCUCCCCGGGCUCUGCGGCAGGCAUUCAGGCAGCGAGCGCAGAGAGAGCUCUUGAGGUAGAAGCUUUCGUUUGGGACCGCAGAUAAGUUUUAUUAAAAAGAUAGAAAUUACUAUAGCUAAUUUUGUUAAGGAGAGAAAUUAAUAUAAAUCUUUAGAAUUUGUAAGUAGUGAAACAUGCUUGAGACAAUCUUAGCGGUAGAUUCUUUGACUUAAGAUGUUACUUAAAAGAAAAUGUGAAGACAGUUUAUAAGAAAAAUAUUUCUGGAAUGUGACGGAGGUUAAGAGCUGAAGCUUCUUAAAGGAGCAAAAUUAUAUUGCUGUAGAGUUAGGACUGCGAAAUUCAGGGUUUUAAAAAGCUCUAAAUUGAAGGUGACAUUAGUGUUAAAACGUAGGUGGUAUAAAUAGAACCUGAACGUUUAAAAAAAGCUGCAGGAGAUAAAAUAUUUUAAAGGCCAUCUUGAAAAAAUUAAAUUGAAGGCGAUUUACUAGAUGACCUUGAAAUACAUGGUGGCGUAAAAGUGUGAAGCCCAGUUCUUAAGGCAUUUGCUAAAUAUUGACGGAAAUAGUAGUGGUAGGGUAAAUUCGGACGAAGAUUAGAAAUUCGAAGUGGAAAACUCGGAAGAUAGAAACACAGGAAGGUGAAGAAGAGAGAAGAUAGGAAAACCAGAAAAUAAAACAUGCCUUUUAGAAAGAAGACAGAAAAACGGAAAACCAAAGGUAGAUUUAGACAAGCUAGAAAACCGAAGCAACUAAGGGCGCAGAUACAGAUGUAGGAAACGAGAGAAGUUAGAAACGAGUGGAAACGCCGUCGCGAUAGUUACAGUUACUAAAGAUAAAAAUGAAAAGCUAGGGUAACUAUUGAAUACAAGUACACAAGAUAGAGAUUUUUAAAAAGCUUUAAGGCCGAAAAGUUGGAUAAACUACCAGGAAAAACAGGAAAUUGAUCUUGUAUACUAAGAAUUUAUUAACAAAGCUUACGAAUUUUGUUCAGAAGUUCGAUUGAAAAAGAUGAGGUGAAACUACCGUAGACCAGGACCAACUUAGAAGACUAUCCGGAAGCUAGAAGGAAAAGCAGUUAAAAAGCUACUAAGAGGACUGAAUUUAGGAAUUAAGGUAGAUGAAUUUUGGAGAGCUAAUUGAAAGGCCGUGUAUCCCGUACCUUAGUUUUCUUUGGCAAAUUGAAAGGACUUUGGUAACUGAAGUAAUAGAAGAUGAAGUAAGCAGCUUAACAUUUUGCCUUGGACUUUGAGCCGAGAUUUCCGAACCUCGAGGACUAGCAUUGACGGCCGAGCAGGUGCUGGCGGAAGUGGAUUCAGUGAAUCUAGCAGGACAGGAGCAGCAGACAGGAUUCCGGGGACCGGUGGUGAAGCUAGGACCGCGCAGCGAGCGCAGAUGGUGGUGAAGAUAGGCGCGGAGCCCGGGAGCCGGUGCGCUGAGAAGGCAGCUAGGCAGGAGGAGCGGCCGGCCCGUUUGGAGGUGACGCUAGGAGAGGAUUCCGGGAAGGCGGCGCGGCGCGGAGGCGCAGUGGAGGAUGUAGAGGGGCCCAGAGCGGCGGCCGGUGUGCGCGGCGCGGGGAGCGCAGUGGUGCGAACCCGGGAGGCCGGCGGCAGCGCGCCCCUCUGGGCACUUUAUGGUAACCGUAUCCGCGGCGCUGUGCCGAGUACGGGGGGAGUCGUCCCGGGGGCGCAGGCCGGUUUCCGGGUGUUGCAGGCUUCUCUUUUUCAGGCUUAUUUUCUCAUGCGUCUUGUCUGAAGCUUUUGAGGGCAGACUUCCAAGUCUCGGAGGAAUGGUAGAUGGCAAGUUUGUUUCGUUUUUUAAGAGGGAAACCAAGUGAAUUAGAACAACUUGGAGAAAAUUUCGGGAAAGAACUUUUUUGGCUUGGGGUAAUGAAGCAUUUCAGUUACGUGAAUGGACCUUUUUUCUCUCCUCACCCUGUAUUAAACUUUUCUAGAUGUGGAGUUUGGGUGUGUAACUCGGGAAAAAAGUGGGGACUGGGGGGGCAAAAUAAGUUUUGAGUUCUUUUCCCCUUAGGUCUGUCUAGAAUCCCAAAGGCAAAUGACUCAAGGUAACAGAAAAAAGAAAAUCCAGUAUCAGGAUAAGCAGACCACCACAGGUUUACAGUUUCUAGAAACUAGAGCGCAACCAGCUCUCACUUUGAGGUCUGUGGCGGAGCUGUCUAUUGAAGAAAUGGCUGGUAGUUAACUCUUUUUUCCACCCUUUAAUAAGAUUUUUAAAGUGAACUCCCUUUCACCUGAAGUCUAUUGUGGGGUGUCUUAAAAGGGAAGAGGGUGGGGGAGGAAAUGUUUUUUUCUAAGAUUUUCCACAGAUGCUAUAGUACUAUUGACAAACUGGGUUAGAGAAGGAUUGUACCGCUUUGCUGUUGGCACGAACACCUCCAGGGAUUGGAGCUGCUUUUUCCCUUGGAAGCGUAUUCCCAGUUGAAGCUGAAAUGUACAGCGCAGUGCAGCUUUGGUUCAUACUCAGUCAUCUCAGGAGCGCUUCAGAGGAGCUUGACUAGGCCAGAUGUCCAAGUUAAGUUUUCACAUAACGUGACUUUUAAAAUACCUUUUAUUAAAGGGGAGGGGCAAACUUCCGCAAUUAGUUGUCAGUGGCCUGAUAAUGGUUGGGAUUGGGAGGGUUGGGUUUAGGUAAUUGUUUAGUUUAUGAUUUCAGAUAACUCAUGCCAGAGAACUUAAAAAUACUUAGGAUGGAAAACUAAAGAAAUUUCAACUUCCAAGUUGGCAAGUAACUCCCAAUUCUCCAGUUUUUGUUCCCCCCCAAGUUUUGAAUUGGGCAGAUGGGGAAGUACCUGAAGAUCUACUGGAUUCAGAGAGUAGGGCUUGGGGAAGGAAAGCGUUGGACUGGGGGUUGGUCUAGCCCACUGGGCUGACUUAAACUCGGGAAUUUUUUAAACGCUGAAGUUGUUUGGAUAUGGCAGUGUGUGGUUCUCUUUUGGAAUUUUUUUCAGGUGAUUUAAUAUAAACUUAAUACUACUAUAGGAGCUUCAGAGCAGAGGAAGUGGCUUAAUGAUCCUCAAAGGAUUUCUUCUGAUGGUAGCUUUUAUAUUAUCAAGUAAGAUUUUAUUUUCAGUUGUGUAUAAGCAAGCUCUUUUUCUAGUGUAGGAAAAGUAUUUUUCCUUUGACUGCAAAACAAGAUGUUAAGGUAUGCUUCAAAAUUCUUAAUUGUGUAUUUUAAAUUUGUAUUUUAAGUAUUUGUAAAUCUUAACUGAUGGAAAGGGUGGGCUUUUGUUGAUGAGGGAGGGGAAACUUUUUUUUCUGUAGACUUUUUUCAGAUAUCAUCUGAGUCAUAACCAGCCUGGCAAUAUGGUGGCCUAGAUGGAAGGGAACAGCUCCUUGGUGAAUGAUAAGUAAAAGGCAGAAAAGCUUAUAUUUCAUACCUCCAUUGGGAAAAAAGCAUAACCCUGAGAUCCUUACUGCUGACGAACACAUCUGCAUAUUCAAAAACAAAUACUAAGCGAAUGAAAGCUAUCAAUUUAUAAAGUUAAUGGAAUCUACCAUUUUAAAGUUAUGGCUUACCAAGCUAUACCCACAAAAAUAAUGAAUUGAUGAGAAGUUAAUGAAUUGAUGAGAAAUAUAAUGAAUUGAAAUAAAAUGAAUUGAUGAGAAAUAAGAUGAUGAUAAAAUGAAUUGAUGAGAAAUACAAUGAAGAUGUCCAUCUCAAAAUACUGCUUUUACAAAAGCAGAAUAAAAAGUGAUAAUGAAAUGCUACAUUAACCUUGGAAUAAAAGAAGCUGAAAUAAUUCAGAGAUGAGUGGGAUCAAGUGGAUUGAGGAGGCCGUGCUGUUUGCCAAUCUUUCAUUUGCCUCAGGCAGGUGUCUCUUCAUGAUCAGAAGAGUUGCUUCAUUUCAUCUGGGAGCAGAAAGCAAGCAGCUGUCCACAGAUAAGUGUGACUUGCGUCAGCAGUACUGCAUGUUAGGGAUGAGUGCAUUUUUUUAAGAGCAGUGCAGGUCUUAAAUACUGAAUCCCUUCCAUAUGGGAUUCCAGAUUGUGGGGAAUUCUCCCAUCCAGCCCUUUUAAAAUUACGCAGGAUUUGUAUCUGUGGGCCUCAUGAUGGGAUGGAUAGUGCACCUCACUCCUUUAGAGGCAUGUAAUUUCUUAAAAGCCUCUUCAGAGUAGUACUUUAAAAGUACAAUAAUAUAAAACUAAGGAGAUUCUCUGAAAACACUAAGAAGGGCAUAAUGUGCUGUUAACAAGAAUCAGAAAUGUUAAUCUUGCUAUGUUUAAAUGUGAUGUAUCUUGUGCAGAAACCCAUUAAAGUAAUGUAAAAUAAAACAAUAUAGAGAAUGUAUGUUCAGGAAGGUGUCUCCUUAUUUAAAUAAAAUAUUGUUUGUUUGUAGUUAGUGUUGGGCAAUCUUGGGGGGUUUCUUCUCUAAUCUUUCAGAAACUUGAGAACACUCUAAAUGGACAAGAUCAGAAAUUGAGCGGAAGAAUGAAUUUAACUUUAAGGCAGGAAAGACAAAUUUUACCCUUCAUAAAGUGAUGAACAUUUAAUAAUUCCAGGCACAUGGCAGUAGAGGCCCUCUAAAUAAGGAAUAAAUACUUAGACAGGUGGGAGAUUAUGAUCAGUGAAACAGGUAACUACACCUACUCUUACCAGUCAGGGGGGUGUAAGUUGGCAGUGGUUCAAGUAGUAAAAUGCUGUCCACGUUGCCAGAGUUUGCAUGUUAAGUUGAAAUGCUUAUAAUCAUCUAGUGUUAGCCAGUUUUAUGUGUGGCACUUGGGGUGGGGUUUGUGCAUUUUUUAAAGAAUUUUCCUUUUCAGAGGCUUCAUUUCAUCCUUCAUGAAGCUGUUCAGGAUUUUCACUUGCACAUAAGCGCUUGGCUCAGCCUUCUGUUCUAGUGUGGGAGACCCUUGCAGUGUAUCAGCGUACUCAAGUAAAUUUUUUCCCCCCUGAUUCUGGAGGGAAGGGAGGGGAGGGGGUGGGGCUUACUUGUUUUAGCUUUCUUUUUACAGACACACAGAGAAUGCAGUUGUCUUGACCUCAGGUCUGGUCUGGUCUGUUGGCAAGUAAUAACGCAGUACUGUUCUGAUCUGCUGCUAUUAGAAUGCAUUGUGAGACGACUGGAGUAUAAUUAAAAGUGUUUCCCUCAAUGCUUGGAGUAGUGAUUGUUAAAGGAAAGUCCAGCUGUGAUAAAGGCUUGGGUGUUGAGGAAAUUUCUGCAGCUUUAAGCAUUCAUGUUUGUGAUUGAAGCCAAGUACCUUUUGCUGUGCUUCUUUAGGUAAAAUGCCUUUUGUUCACUUUUGGUACGGGGGUGGGAGGGGCACUGAAGCCUUUAGUGUUUUCCAGAUGCAACCAUAAAUUAAGUGCCAAGUGCCAAGCAACAGUCUUCAAGAAAUUUCACUGGCAAGUGGAAAUGUUUUAACAGUUCAGUGAUCUUAGUACAUUGUCUUUGUGUGGGUUUGUCUCUUCCCCCCCCUCUUGGUUUUAAUUCUUACAUGCAGGAAAUUCAAAGCAACAGAUGAAUAAGAAGGGCCAGAGAAGCCAGACACCCAGUAAGGAAAAAUAGCUUGUUUACUUUCAAUAAAACAUUACAUGUUGAAUGUGGGGAUUGGGAACCACUAGUUCUUUCAGAUGGUACUCUUCAGACUAGAAGGAGCAUCCAGUUGAAUUCACCAGUGGACAAAAUGGUAACAGGUGAAUAAGCUUUUUCUGUAUUUACAUUCUAAGUCAGAUCCCUUAUAAGUAAAUCAGAAAGUAGUUUUUCAGCUUUAUGCUGGAGUAAAAAGCAUGUCAAGCAGUUGGCUGUUCGCCUGGGGGUGGAGGGGUGAGGUGGGCGCUAAGCCUUUUUUUAAGAUUUUUCAGGUACCUCUAAGGGCAUCGAAGGCUUAAAGUAGGACAACCAUGGAGCCUUCCUGUGGCAAGAGACAACAAAGCGCUAUUAUACUAAGGUCAAUAAAGUGGUGUCAGCCUGGUAACUCCAGCCUCAGCCCCCUUGGCAGACAUGCACUGAGGCCUCUGGAGAGCGAAGCAUCCAAUGGAAUGCUUAAGUACCACGUAUGCCCCUGGGCUUGCCUUACCUACUUUCAAUGAAGCUGUUUUUAUAGCAGCUCUUAAAAAGCCCAGACCUGAAGGUUUGAAGGGGGGGAAAGCGGGCAACCACUUUUCCCUAGCUUUUCCAGAAGCCUGUUAAAAGCAAGGUCUCCCCACAAGUGACUUCUCUGCCACAUCGCCACCCCCUGCCUUGGGCCUAGUGCAGACCCUUCACCCCUCACCUCGAUGCUGCCAGUAGCUUGGAUCCUGUGGCAUGGUCCAUAAUCGUUCAAGGUAACAGUGGUGCCAAGGUCUUUGGUGGGUUGCACUACUAGAAAAGGCCAUUGAUUGACCUGCAAAUGGUUUGCAGUAAAACCACAACUAAGCUUUAAGGUGUUUUCAGUAUACAGUAGUAGUGUCUAGACUUCAAUCAGUAAAUAGAGAAUAAUCUUGAAGAACUGUAAUGCUGCUGGGUGGGAAGGUGUAACUCGGUGAAGAAGGAGGCUUUGUAGUGGCUGACAGGGCUGUUGGGUGGGGUUGCAAAAUUCCUCUGCUAAGACUUUUUCAGGUGGACAUAUAGCAGACUUGGCCAAGCUAGCAUCUUAGCUGAAGCAGAUUCUCCAGUGUUCUUCAGUAGGGUUGUAAAAGGUUUUUCUUUUCCUGAGAAAACAAAAGACUUUGUUUUCUCAGGUUUUGCUUUUUGGCCUUUCCUAACUUUAAAAAAAAAAGCAAAAGACACUGGUGGUUGGCACUCCUGGUUUCCAGGACAGGGUUCAAAUCCCUGUGGUGUCUUUGCUUGACUGUAACCCCUGCCUUCAGGACUUGCCACCUUUCCUCCUCUUCCCUUCAGGUGUUCAGUGGGGGAGGUGGAAGGUUCUUGGAAUUGGUCAGAGAGGCCUGAAUCAGUUUGUAUUGAUAUUUUCAUGGGACACUAACUUAUUUUGUCUUUAAUUUACAGGUAUCCCUUAAGCAUCUAGUGUUGUGUGAAGCCUCACUAUUAAAAACUUAAGAUUUCAUAUUAAUAAAAAUUGAAACACUC